UUCUCGGUAGCUCAGUUGGUUAGCGCGCUGGACUUGUGAUUCGGAGGUUGCGGGUUCGAAUCCCGUUCGAGAAG